rnacentral:rRNA from 1 species
GGGCCCGCACAAGCGGUGGAGCAUGUGGUUUAAUUCGACGCAACGCGCAGAACCUUACCAGCCCUUGACAUCCCGGUCGCGGACUCCAGAGACGGAGUUCUUCAGUUCGGCUGGACCGGAGACAGGUGCUGCAUGGCUGUCGUCAGCUCGUGUCGUGAGAUGUUGGGUUAAGUCCCGCAACGAGCGCAACCCCCGUCCUUAGUUGCUACCAUUUAGUUGAGCACUCUAAGGAGACUGCCGGUGAUAAGCCGCGAGGAAGGUGGGGAUGACGUCAAGUCCUCAUGGCCCUUACGGGCUGGGCUACACACGUGCUACAAUGGCGGUGACAAUGGGAUGCAAAGGCGCAAGCCCCAGCAAAUCUCAAAAAGCCGUCUCAGUUCGGAUUGGGCUCUGCAACUCGAGCCCAUGAAGUUGGAAUCGCUAGUAAUCGUGGAUCAGCAUGCCACGGUGAAUACGUUCCCGGGCCUU